rnacentral:lncRNA from 1 species
CACAGCCCAAUCCUCUGAAGGCCGUCAGAGCGCCAUGCAAGAUCAGGUCCUAGAUCUUUUAGCCUCUAGUUCACACACAAUCCAUCUUUUCUCUUUCAGAAGCUUGCCACGGCUCAUCUCCUCCUCACAUAGCCUGAGUUUGAGACCACGCUCCUGAGGCCGGUGGGAACGACAUGCUACAGCAAGCCAUAUAUUGUAUGUACCUGCUCAGGCCCUUUCUGUCAGCAUUACUCUAUAAGCUCUAGUAUCUGCAGAGGUAAAAUCUCCACCCUUCUGCAUCACAUGAGACUAAAGAACGGAAUGCAGGUCCUUUCAACUGCAUGUAGUGAAAGGCCUAAUUAUGGAGGAUUAUAAUACAACCUAGUUGAGGAGGCCUGGAAAAUGGUACUGCACCCACCUGGCCUGCGGCUGGAGUUAUCGUCCCUGGAGCAGCACCAAUUGGGAGCGAGGGCUGAGCAGUGACUUUCCCCUCCAACCACGUCCAAUCUGUGGCCUGCAGGCUCCCGAGGAGCGAGGAUGGCAGCAUGGGACGAGCAGGCAGAAAGUCCUAACGCUGGCUCUGGCAAGCCCUGGCCUUUCCGCUCUGCCCCCGCUGCACCCAGCAAUGGCUGAGGGGCCCGCGGCGCACCAGAGAUGAGUGGAACUUUCCCCCUGGAAGUAGGG